rnacentral:misc_RNA from 1 species
UACUCUCACACUCUCCAAUCCUUUGGGUUUGGGGAGCGGUGGACUUGGGUGCCUGCUGCUUUUCGUUGUGGCUCACCUUAAAUGCGUUAGUGCACCUCUUGGUUGGACAUAGUACGGCGUGAUAAGUGUCUUCGCCGGCACCUCGCAAGAGGGUGGUCAAUCUAGAGAGCUCUGUGCUUUCAAAACCGUCUUCGGACAAUCUCUGACAAC